rnacentral:rRNA from 1 species
UGGAGCAAAUCCCUAAAAGCCAUCUCAGUUCGGAUUGCAGGCUGCAACUCGCCUGCAUGAAGCUGGAAUUGCUAGUAAUCGCGGAUCAGCGAGCCGCGGUGAAUACGUUCCCGGGCCUUGUACACACCGCCCGUCACACCAUGAGAGUCGGGAACACCCGAAGUCCGUAGUCUAACCGCAAGGGGGGCGCGGCCGAAGGUGGGUCCGGUAAUUGGGGUGAAGUCGUAACAAGGUAAC